rnacentral:tRNA from 1 species
GCCGAUGUAGCUCAGGGGUAGAGCAGGUCAUUCGUAAUGAUCAGGUCGUCGGUUCAAAUCCGACCAUCGGCUCCA